UAACUAAUAUGAGACUAUUUACUGCAAGGUGAACAUGAAAAUAAUUUUAACAAAUUACAUGGAAGUAUUUGCAUACAUUUGCAAUAUGAUCUCAGGUACAACUGACAACAGACAUUUCUGCUAAACAUAUUAUCAGGGAUGCAGACACAAUUCAAACAUGUUUAAAUGUUAUGAAUUCAUUUUGAUUUCAAAGGUGAUUCCUUCCUCUGUGACCAAGAGAAAGUGGUCAUACUGACUUAAAAACUGUUUAGUAUAUUUUAAUGUUUAGAGGUAUAACUCUACCUAGUACGAUAACAUCCUGAUCCUUCUGUUCCGGUUCAUUUGUGCAAGAGAGAAAAAAGUAUUUAUCUGGACAGCUAAGGAAAUCUGACCCGGCACUUACUCUGUACUUACUCUGAAAUCUAUAAUGACAUUACAGAUUUCAUAUACUUUAUCCUAGCUCCUACAAUGGGGAAACCAAUCUAAACACAGGAGUGGGCAAUAAUUACUGCUUAGCCAUUCCUAGGGCAAACUGCACAGUUUUGUCAGAACCAGUCCAGAAUUGCUGCUAGGUUACCUUGUCUGGGUAAUUUGUUUACGUGGUUUUCAAUAUUUUUUGUGAGACAUGGGAAAGGCAUAACCAAAAAGUGGUUACUAUCUAUGUUGAUAUGGCCAACCAGCUGCUAACAACAGGACGCCAACGACCUUACGAGCUAGCUAAGUAUUUAUAAUUCAGAAGACAUUAUUCUAAUCGAAGUUGGAGAAUUAGUAGUGAUGUCGUAAUAGAUAUAUUAUACAGCCAGUCAUAAGGUGGCAUACAUAGUAUCUAAACCUGUCUCCCUCCAAGACUCACCCUAACUGUACAUGUCGUGAUUAACGACGUAGGAGAACCCGUUACCAGCACACUGUACUGUAACUAACUACACACGAUUGUCACGAAGCUGGAAGUGGCUACUGAAAGUCUUCACCAAAAUGUAGCUACAAAUGGACCGUAUCUUUUAAAGAAAAACUUAAGGAUCUUACUGGAGGAACUACACCGCAGCUUAUCCUAUAUUUCCAGCAGAGGGAGAUACAGGUCAACAAAUAGAAGCUGGAUCCCAACUGGCAGGAUGUGGGGUAUUGUUUUACAACUUGGAAUAGAAAAAGCUGUUCAAUCUACGGUUAUUCAAACCACAACGACAAUAUCUCAAUGGAGCAGGCAUAAAGUCACUCUCCCUCGGCUGUUACAUAUG